AGCAGCCGCGGUAAUUCCAGCUCCAAUAGCGUAUAUUAAAGUUGUUGCAGUUAAAAAGCUCGUAGUUGAAUUUCGGGAUCAGACUGUCGGUCGUGCCUCGGUACGCACUGGCAUUAUUGGUUCCUACCUUCUGAAGAACCGCGAUGUCAUUAAUUUGGUGUCGUGGGGAAUCAGGACUGUUACUUUGAAAAAUUAGAGUGUUUAAAGCAGGCGCACGCUUGAAUACAUUAGCAUGGAAUAAUGAAAUAGGACGUUUGAUUCUAUUUUGUUGGUCUCUAGGAUCGACGUAAUGAUUAAUAGGGAUAGUUGGGGGCAUUAGUAUUCAAUUGUCAGAGGUGAAAUUCUUGGAUUUAUUGAAGACUAACUACUGCGAAAGCAUUUGCCAAGGAUGUUUUCAUUAAUCAAGAACGAAAGUUAGGGGAUCGGAGACGAUCAGAUACCGUCGUAGUCUUAACCAUAAAACUAUGCCGACUAGGGAUCGGACGCAGUUAAUUUAUAAUGACGUGUUC
rnacentral:rRNA from 1 species